rnacentral:lncRNA from 1 species
ACUCUGCAAUCCGCCCAACAAUCUGUCCGUCACCUUGGAGAAGUCGGUGCGGAAAGGGGAAAAAGAAAAGGGAAAGUGAGGCCAGGCCGUCGUGGCUGUCACAACCACCGCGCUGUAGCCACCGCUGUGCUCGGUUCCACCUCUACUUAUCACUCGAGGGGGGGGGGGGGGGGGGGAACGCGCAGCCACUCCUGCCGUUGCCGCAGUCACCUCCAGGCUGACAACCGCUGCUGUGAAUGCCGCCGCCGCCGUCCUCGAUUCCACCUCUACCUGUCACGCAAGAAGGGAGCUCGCAGCCACCGCCGGCGUUGCGGCAGUCACCUCCAGGGACACAACCGCUGCCGCCGUGCUCGACUCCACCUCUGCUUUUCACCGCCGCCGUCGCCGCUCAGAGCUGCCGUCACGAACGCUCCGCCUUCGCCCUCCUCCCCGUCCCCCAUUUCUUCCCCCC